GUGAAAUUUGAGAGAAGGAAGAAAGGUGAAUUCCCUCUCUGAGGAAGGAGUCAUACUGGACUUUCUACAUACAAGCUAUUUACUUAUUCAGUUUUGAAACAGUUAAUUCAAGAACUCCAAAGGCUUGGUGGAUUUUCUGAAGGUCUGUGCAUACCUCUGUAAAAAAUCUCCUGUCACCAGUGAGAAAUAUGUCUGAGAGAGAGACCCAGCAUUUUUUAAAGAAAUAAGGGGUUUUUUUUAAUAUAGUUCAUCACUAUAAUAUUUUCUGUUAGUUUGCUUUCAAAUCAACAUGGCAUUAUAUACAUCAUAUGUUAAAUGCAUUAUUCUAUAUUAAAAUCCUACUUUACAAGGAUAACACAAUAAAAGUGAUAUUGAGUAC